rnacentral:rRNA from 1 species
CGAUCAGCCACACUGGAACUGAGACACGGUCCAGACUCCUACGGGAGGCAGCAGUAGGGAAUCUUGCGCAAUGGGCGAAAGCCUGACGCAGCAAUGCCGCGUGCGGGACGAAGGCCCUAGGGUCGUAAACCGCUUUCAGUAGGGACGAAAAUGACGGUACCUGCAGAAGAAGCUCCGGCCAACUACGUGCCAGCAGCCGCGGUGAUACGUAGGGAGCAAGCGUUGUCCGGAAUUACUGGGCGUAAAGGGCUCGUAGGUGGUUGAGUAAGUCAGAUGUGAAAUCUCAGGGCCCAACCCUGAGCGUGCAUUUGAUACUGCUCUGACUAGAGUCCGGUAGGGGAGUGCGGAAUUCCUGGUGUAGCGGUGAAAUGCGCAGAUAUCAGGAGGAACACCGACAGCGAAGGCAGCACUCUGGGCCGGUGCUGACACUGAGGAGCGAAAGCAUGGGUAGCAAACAGGAUUAGAUACCCUGGUAGUCCAUGCCGUAAACGUUGGGCACUAGGUGAGGGGAGAACUCAACUCUCUCCGCGCCGUAGCUAACGCAUUAAGUGCCCCGCCUGGGGAGUACGGCCGCAAGGCUAAAACUCAAAGGAAUUGACGGGGGCCCGCACAAGCGGCGGAGCAUGUUGCUUAAUUCGAGGCAACGCGAAGAACCUUACCUGGGUUGAACUACGUGGGAAAAGCCGCAGAGAUGCGGUGUCCUUCGGGGUCCACGAUAGGUGGUGCAUGGCUGUCGUCAGCUCGUGUCGUGAGAUGUUGGGUUAAGUCCCGCAACGAGCGCAACCCUUGUCCUGUGUUGCCAGCGGGUAAAGCCGGGGACUCGUAGGAGACUGCCGGGGUCAACUCGGAGGAAGGUGGGGACGACGUCAAGUCAUCAUGCCCCUUAUGUCCAGGGCUGCAAACAUGCUACAAUGGCCGGUACAACGGGCAGCUAAACCGCGAGGUCAAGCGAAUCCCACAAAGCCGGUCUCAGUUCGGAUUAAGUCUGCAACUCGACUUCAUGAAGCUGGAGUCGCUAGUAAUCCCGGAUCAGCAACGCCGGGGUGAAUACGUUCCCGGGCCUUGUACACACCGCCCGUCACACGCCGAAAGUCGGCAACACCCGAAGUCAGUGGCCCAACCCCUAGGGGAGGGAGCUGCCGAAGGUGGGGCUGGCGAUUGGGGUGAAGUCGUAACAAGGUAGCCGUACCGGAAGGUGCGGCUG